CGCCGGGAUACGUGUUUACCGCAUGUGUGAUGUGUCUGCCUAAAACAUGUAUCCGGCUCA
rnacentral:precursor_RNA from 1 species